rnacentral:rRNA from 1 species
CUUGGUCAUUUAGAGGAAGUAAAAGUCGUAACAAGGUCUCCGUAGGUGAACCUGCGGAGGGAUCAUUACACAAAUAUGAAGGCGGGCUGGAACCUCUCGGGGUUACAGCCUUGCUGAAUUAUUCACCCUUGUCUUUUGCGUACUUCUUGUUUCCUUGGUGGGUUCGCCCACCACUAGGACAAACAUAAACCUUUUGUAAUUGCAAUCAGCGUCAGUAACAAAUUAAUAAUUACAACUUUCAACAACGGAUCUCUUGGUUCUGGCAUCGAUGAAGAACGCAGCCCCCCCGUGCCCCCGCCCCGCCCGCCGCCGCGCGGCGGGCGA